rnacentral:lncRNA from 1 species
CAAACACAAUGAGUCUGCAGGCUGAAAUAGGUCAGGAGCUGCCAGUUUGCAAAUUCCAAAGAAAGGACGAGGAAGUCAGUUAGGGGCAAGCCCAGAAACCGAACGACACUGACAAGCACAGAGGCAAGGGAGAGCAGAUUCACAAAAAUAACUCAUCGCUGAGGUGAACUCCCGAUGCUGAAGUCCUGAGGCCGUCAACUGUCACUUUUUAUUGCUGUGGUGUGCUUGCUUCUCCUGGCCAUUCUCUCUGUUAAUAAAGCUACUCAUAGACUUGGACACUAGAUCUGGAAGCCUGAUG